GUGAGGAAUAUUGGGCAAUGGGCGAAAGCCUGACCCAGCCACGCCGCGUGAGUGAUGAAGGCCUUCGGGUUGUAAAGCUCUGUGGGGAGGGAAGAAAAAGCGCAGGAGUAACUGCCUGUGUGUUGACGGUACCUCCUUAGCAAGCACCGGCUAACUCUGUGCCAGCAGCCGCGGUAAUACAGAGGGUGCAAACGUUGCUCGGAAUUACUGGGCGUAAAGCGCGUGUAGGCUGACAUGCAAGUCGGGUGUGAAAUCCCAGGGCUCAACCUUGGAACUGCACUCGAAACUGCACGUCUUGAGUACUGGAGAGGGAAGCGGAAUUCCGGGUGUAGAGGUGAAAUUCGUAGAUAUCCGGAGGAACACCAGUGGCGAAGGCGGCUUCCUGGACAGUAACUGACGCUGAGACGCGAAAGCGUGGGGAGCAAACAGGAUUAGAUACCCUUGUAGUCC
rnacentral:rRNA from 1 species